CCCUACGGGGUGCAGCAGGCGAGAAAACUUUGCAAUGUGCGAAAGCACGACAAGGUUAAUCCGAGUGGUUUCUGCUAAAGGAACCUUUUGUCAGUCCUAGAAACACUGAUGAAUAAGGGGUGGGCAAGUUCUGGUGUCAGCCGCCGCGGUAAAACCAGCACCUCAAGUGGUCAGGAUGAUUAUUGGGCCUAAAGCAUCCGUAGCCUGCUUUGUUAGUUUUCGGUUAAAUCCAUACGCUCAACGUAUGGGCUGCCGGGAAUACUGCAAAGCUAGGGAGUGGGAGAGGUAGACGGUACUCGGUAGGAAGGGGUAAAAUCCUUUGAUCUAUUGAUGACCACCUGUGGCGAAGGCGGUCUACCAGAACACGUCCGACGGUGAGGGAUGAAAGCUGGGGGAGCAAACCGGAUUAGAUACCCGGGUAGUCCCAGCUGUAAACUAUGCAAACUCAGUGAUGCAUUGGCUUGAUGCCAAUGCAGUGCUGCAGGGAAGCCGUUAAGUUUGCCGCCUGGGAAGUACGUACGCAAGUAUGAAACUUAAAGGAAUUGGCGGGGGAGCACCACAAGGGGUGAAGCCUGCGGUUCAAUUGGAGUCAACGCCAGAAAUCUUACCCGGAGAGACAGCAGAAUGAAGGUCAAGCUGAAGACUUUACCAGACAAGCUGAGAAGAAGUGCAUGGCC
rnacentral:rRNA from 1 species